rnacentral:rRNA from 1 species
GACGAACGCUGGCGGCGUGCUUAACACAUGCAAGUCGAACGGAAAGGCCCUGCUUUUGUGGGGUGCUCGAGUGGCGAACGGGUGAGUAACACGUGAGUAACCUGCCCUUGACUUUGGGAUAACUUCAGGAAACUGGGGCUAAUACCGGAUAGGAGCUCCUGCUGCAUGGUGGGGGUUGGAAAGUUUCGGCGGUUGGGGAUGGACACGCGGCUUAUCCGCUUGUUGGUGGGGUAGUGGCUUACCAAGGCUUUGACGGGUAGCCGGCCUGAGAGGGUGACCGGCCACAUUGGGACUGAGAUACGGCCCAGACUCCUACGGGAGGCAGCAGUGGGGAAUAUUGCACAAUGGGCGGAGGCCUGAUGCAGCAACGCCGCGUGCGGGAUGACGGCCUUCGGGUUGUAAACCGCUUUCGCCUGUGACGAAGCGUGAGUGACGGUAAUGGGUAAAGAAGCACCGGCUAACUACGUG